rnacentral:lncRNA from 10 species
CAAAUUUCAUGUGUUGGAAAUUUAAUCCCCAAUGUGGCAGUAUUGUGUGGUGGGCCCUUUAAGAGGUGAUUAGAUCAUGAGGGUGGAGCCCUUAUGAAUGGAUUAAUCUCUUCAUGGAUUCAUGGAUUAAUGGGUUAAUGGAUUAAUGGGUUAUCUUGGGAGGGGGACUGAUGGCUUUAUAAGAAGAGGGAGAGAGACCUUAGCUAGCAAGGGAGCAGCUCAGCACCCCCUCCAUAUGAUGGCUUGUACUGCCUGGGAACUCUGCAGGUGUCCCCCACCAGCAAGAAGGCCCUCACCAGAUGCACACUCUUGACCUUGGACUUCUCAGACUCCAUAACUAGACAGGGGUCUCGCUAUGUUGCCAGGACCGGUCUUGAACUCCUAAGGCUGAGAUAUUUCUGCUAGAACAUUCUGGAGCAACUUGUCUCUUUCUACAAACACAUACUGAGCAGGAUGCUUAAUUAAGAGGAAGCCUGCAGGGAAACAGCUGAUCCUGGAAGGCACAGCACCCUUUUGAGAGUUUCUUACAGUCCAGCAGCCCCUUACACAGUUUUCUCAUGACAAUCAGACAUGAAAUCAAUGAGCAAGAGAUGCAGAAUGUUGCAUCAGAACCCCUGGACCUACAAGGUCUCAGCAGCGGGAUGCCUGACAAGGGAGGGAUGGGCUGAAACUCCGACUAUUCUUUGUGUGCCUGUCCCUAUAUCAUAAACACUAGGCUGUGGAUAGUGGAAAUGGGUGUGGGGUCUCAGUCCUGGAUCCCCUCCAUUCUUUCCUCCCUUGCUCCCAUAAAAGGAAAAUGCUCUCAAACCUGGCCUGAGACCAUAUCUUUCUGUAAGAACCUCCUUCUGGAAAGAAACUAGCAUUUCUGAUAAAUGCUCGAGCAUUGAGCAUUUUUCUUUUGAAAUUUAAGAGCAUUGAGAUUUACACUGGGAAACUAGCUUUCUACUCACUCAGUUGAUGGUCAUUUGUCAGUCAAGAGUGCAGUGACCUUUAACGGAACAUUCUUUUCUUUUCUAUUUUGUCUAACAGUGAUUAUCUAAUCAUUUUCUUCUCCUAGAAAAUGUCUCUAUCAAGAUAGAGGUCAGAAGAGUGGCCAACAUUUUUCGGGGUGGAGAGAGGGUGUAUUGCCUGGGAAGGGGUCCAGGGGGGCUUCUGUAGGCCUGCAAAUGUUCUAAUAUCUUGAAUUGGGUUGUUAAGACACAGAUGUGUACAAAUGUAAAAAUUCAUCAACCUGUAUACUUAAGAGCGUGCAGUUUAAUCUACAUAGGCAGACUGUAAUAAAAAAUAAAUUUUUAGAAAAUGUCCCUACCAAGUAUAAAUCUUUGAAUUCCCAGUGGGUUUACACUUGCAGCAAGACUGUGAUUUUUUUUUUUUAAGAUAUGGGCUUUCACUGUGUUGACCAGGAUGGUCUUGAACUCCUGGCCUCAAGCAAUCCUCCCAUCUUGGCCUCCCAAAGUGCCAGGGUUACAGGUGUGAGCCACCACGCCCGGUCAAGACUGUAAUAAAAUUUUGACGUAUGCUGUAACAAAACCAACAGAAAAGUUUUC